rnacentral:lncRNA from 1 species
CUCUUACAUAUUUAUGCCCUACAAACAGAAAAGCCGACAUUCUAUUUCAUGUCAUUUCUAUUCAAUAAGAACAGUAUAUGUGUGUGAAUAAGUGUUUAUGUAGCACUUUCAAGUACAUUAUAAAUAGGAGAAAGCUAUUUUUUUUCCCUAGGCAUGAAUGACCACUCACUGAGCUCUCUGAAUGAAAGCUUAUACAACUAAUGAUUAAAUGUUUCCAUGGUUCUAGUUCAAUACAUUUCAAAUCCUCUAUUUCUAUGGCUACUCAAAAACAUCUGGUGUCUGACACCAUAAGAUACUUCUAGAUAAUGAUAGGACCUCUCGCUGUGCACCCUAGUUCAUGACACAGUGGGCAGCUGGAAUAUUCUUGAAAGAGAUUCCUAUGCUGUGGUGGCUAGCAACAGGCUAACUACACAUGAAGUAGGUGUAAGCCACGUUAAAAAUACCCCACUGAACUCAAACUGAAUAUUUCUUGAGCUCAGGGUCAUGUUGAACAUAAGUUAACAAUGCCCUUUGUCACUCAAGUAUAAGUAGAGGCAGAGAAGCGUGGGAAAAGCCAGAGGUUUUCAUCAGUUGCAAUUAUUUUGCAAAAUAUUUUGCAAAGUUUCUAAAAACAUAGGGUUAUGGGAGUGCAUUGCUUGAAUCUUUUUUCUGGAAAAGGCUCAGGCAAAGAAAGACCUUGAAAGCUCCAUUCAUUCCCUGGAAAACCUGCCACCGACUGUGGGACGUUGGAGCACCUGGUGUGGAGGAACUAAGUGAAAAUACAGAGACCACGUUAAGGUUUAGAAAAAAAUGUUUGCCAAAGGUCAAGCAGGUUGGAAAGAGCAGAAUAGGAAGUCAGAACCACGUCUGCCUUCAAAUCCUAUUUCCACUGCCAACGGACAACCGCACCAUUCACUCAUUGUCUAGUUCAGACUAGAUGAUCUUCAGGCAACGUUAGCAUUACAGAUACCUAGAGGGAAGGAGUCUAGGCCUGGAGGAAGAGAGCCACGAGAACAAGUUCUCCAAGCUGACAACUUUUUUUGAGCACCUGUUCAUUCCUGUAAAGAUGACAUCACUGUCCAGGAUGGAAAUACCCCCUGGAGAAACAGAGGGCAGUGAGUCUGUAGGGAGCCCUUAGAGUCUCAGCAUGCCUGAUUAUAUGAGCCUCAAGAACUGCCGGCGAUCAAGAGGCACUUCACUUCCCAGAGAUGUGAGAGAGAGUUGGGGUGCCUUGAUGGAUGCAUAAAGCCUGAACACACUUUAGACACGGCACUUGUUGUAUCUUCGGCAACAGCAAUAACAUUUUCAACAGAAUGCUCUAGUUCUUUAAAAAGGCAUUUUUUGGGUGGGUGCCUGGGGAGCUGAGUUGGUUAAGUGUCCACCUUCAGCUCAGGUCAUGAUCCCAGGGUCCUGAGAUCGAGCCCCUCCUUGGGCUGCCGGCUCAGCUGGGAGUCUGCUUCUUCCUCUCCCUCUGCUACUCCUUUUGUAUAUGCUCUCCUUCUGUCAAACAAAC